ACGAUCCUUUCGGGNWAGUGGCGCACGGGUGAAGUAACGCGUGGGAAAUUGCCUUUUAGUGGGGGAUAACAGCUGGAAACGGCUGCUAAUACCGCAUACGCCCUUCGGGGGAAAGAUUUAUCGCUAAAAGAUAUGCCCGCGUGAGAUUAGGUAGUUGGUGGGGUAAAGGCCUACCAAGCCUACGAUCUCUAGCUGGUCUGAGAGGAUGAUCAGCCACACUGGAACUGAGACACGGUCCAGACUCCUACGGGAGGCAGCAGUGGGGAAUAUUGGACAAUGGGCGAAAGCCUGAUCCAGCCAUGCCGCGUGAGUGAUGAAGGCCUUCGGGUUGUAAAGCUCUUUCGCUGGGGAAGAUAAUGACGGUACCCAGAUAAGAAGCCCCGGCUAACUUCGUGCCAGCAGCCGCGGUAAGACGAAGGGGGCUAGCGUUGUUCGGAAUUACUGGGCGUAAAGCGCGCGUAGGCGGCU
rnacentral:rRNA from 1 species